AUUGAACGCUGGCGGAAUGCUUUACACAUGCAAGUCGAACGGCAGCACGGACUUCGGUCUGGUGGCGAGUGGCGAACGGGUGAGUAAUACAUCGGAACGUGCCCAGUCGUGGGGGAUAACGUAGCGAAAGCUACGCUAAUACCGCAUACGAUCUAAGGAUGAAAGCGGGGGAUCGCAAGACCUCGCGCGAUUGGAGCGGCCGAUAUUAGAUUAGGUAGUUGGUGGGGUAAAGGCUCACCAAGCCGACGAUCUGUAGCUGGUCUGAGAGGACGACCAGCCACACUGGGACUGAGACACGGCCCAGACUCCUACGGGAGGCAGCAGCGGGGAAUUUUGGACAAUGGGCGAAAGCCUGAUCCAGCCAUGCCGCGUGCAGGAUGAAGGCCUCCGGGUUGUAAACUGCUUUUGUACGGAACGAAAAGGCGCCUACUAAUACUGGGUGUUGAUGACGGUACCGUAAGAAUAAGCACCGGCUAACUACGUGCCAGCCGCCGCCGUAA
rnacentral:rRNA from 1 species